rnacentral:tRNA from 1 species
AAGGGCUUAGGAUAACUAUAAAACCGGGGGCCUUCAAAGCCCUAAAUGGGGGUGAAAUGCCCUCAGCCCUUG